rnacentral:tRNA from 1 species
GGGGCCAUAGCUCAGUUGGGAGAGUGUCUCGUUCGCAAUGAGAAGGUCAGGGGUUCAAUUCCCCUUGGCUCCA